GUAAUCAAAAGCCCAUUAAUUGUGGGCCAGCAUGAAGGAUGGAAUCUAUAGCUUUUUUCCUUAAUCUAAACUUGAAUUUAAAAGCAGAUUAAAAACCCUGCUUAUAAAGGCAGACGAGAAGACCCUAAAAGCUAAUUGAAUCCAAUUUUUUGGGGAAAACUAAGUUAAGGAUCUAACUCUUAGAAACUAAAAAAACUAAAAAAAUAAGCUACUUUAGGGAUAACAGAGUAAUUUUUUAUUAAAGAACGCAUUUAUUGAAAAGAUUACGACCUCGAUGUUGGAUUCCUAAAUCUAAAGGCCGCAGCAGGCUAAAAAGAAUAGACUGUUCGUUUUUUAAAUCAGG
rnacentral:rRNA from 1 species